AACGAACGCUGGCGGCAGGCCUAAAACAUGCAAGUCGAACGAACCUUCGGGUUAGUGGCGCACGGGUGAGUAACACGUGGGAAUAUGCCUCUUGGUGCGGAACAACGUCUGGAAACGGACGCUAAUACCGCAUAAUAUCUACGGAUCAAAGAUUUAUCGCCAAGAGAUUAGCCCGCGUCUGAUUAGCUAGUUGGUGAGGUAAUGGCUCACCAAGGCGACGAUCAGUAGCUGGUCUGAGAGGAUGAUCAGCCACACUGGAACUGAGACACGGUCCAGACUCCUACGGGAGGCAGCAGUUAGGAAUAUUGGACAAUGGGGGCAACCCUGAUCCAGCCAUGCCGCGUGUGUGAUGAAGGCCUUAGGGUUGUAAAGCACUUUCAGCUGUGAAGAUAAUGACAGUAGCAGCAGAAGAAGCUCCGGCUAAAUUCGUGCCAGCAGCCGCCGCGG
rnacentral:rRNA from 1 species